GAACCUGUAAUUUUUUUUAAUCUGCUCCUCUUUUUAGCCCUUUUACGUACAUUGUACGUAUUAAUCGAAACAACACAUAAUCAUUAAUUUGCAUUUACUUUCUAAUAUUAAAAAAAAUACAAGUACAUGUAUAGUGAUUCGACAUGUAUUGAUCAACUAUUAUUCUUUAAACAUGACACCAAAUUGGAUUUAAAUGGCUCAAAUAGAAGAGUCGUCAGCACGAUGCAUAUUUGAAAACCACGAAGUUCAGGUUGACCGCAGUAUCUUAUAAUUCUCACCGGAAAUGUAGUUCGUGUGUAGCACCAAUCAGCGGCGAACCAGUUUAGUAACCAGUAUGCUGAACGCUUCGCACUAGGCAUAAUUCGCCCCCAUUUUUUAAAAUUAUAUAUCACUUAUAUUUAAAUUAUGGGAAAAUUCACGGUGAAUUUUUAUGGAAAAUAAUUUUAACAUAAAAAUAAUGAUCAUUUUUUUUAAACCCAUCCAAUAUCAAAUCAAUUGGUAUGCAUUGAUUGAUGGGGGUCAAAACAUCUAGACACGAAUCAUGUGGGAAUGGCUGGACAUACCGGAUGUUGUUACAAAGUUGCGCCUUUUUUGUAUUUUUCAACAUGGAUUUUCAUGUUAUACAUUUCGAUUAUGAUAACCAAAUCACAGCAGUCAAUAGUUCUAAGGUAAAGUGUGUAGAAAACACAUUGAAACCAGGAGGAAGAUGCACCGUACCAUUUGAAACAGAAAAUUUAACGGAAGACGGAAGAACAGCUAGAGUACAGUGCAGAGAUAUCUUAUAUGAAGGCACCGUCAUUUGCCAGAAUCUUGUUAAGAAGAAAGCUGUGGAAUUAGCAAAAAAGGGGUAGAAAGAUCUUGACACCGGAUUGCCAUUGUUGAGCAUAAUCAACACUAGCUCCAGUGGGCCACCACUUGAUCCUGUGAAGUUAGCUGCUAUCAAAGAAUAUCUGCGCUACCACUGUGAUCAAAAUGGCUGGACAGAUUUGACAACAUCCGAAUUCAAUGCAACAAUAACAAACAAAAUAACAAAUUCAAGGAGGAUGGCAACCAAACACCCGGCCAAGCUUGAAUGUCACUAUGUGACAGGAGUUGCUGAGAAAUAGUGUACACAUCACUUUAUUCAUGUCGGUGCUUGGAUAACUCGAUCUGACACCAUCAAUGUUUUAUGGAAUUUAAUGCUCUUUGCAGGAAUGGAUUUUACAUCAUAGUGACAGUGUUCUUAAAUUGUUUCCAACAUAGUGAUGCUGAUGUGAAUGGAUUAAAAUUCAUACCUACCUUAAUACUACUGUUUGUGUAUUGAAUAUUUAAUGCAUGUGUAUAUCAUAUUAUACAAUUUGAAGGAUAGGAAUUAACAAACUAUUAGGAUACAAUAUGUAAUUAUUUAGUUUAUAGGCAAAAUGUUGUCUUGCAUAACAAUGUUUUAUGGCAUUUGCUGCACAAGCAUGCAUGUUUAAAAAGUCGUGUUCAGAUGUGAAAUUGCUUUUAAUAAUUUUUACUUUUAAUAAUAUUACCAUGAUUAUAAUAGAAAAGGUUGUUUUUGAAAUGCAAUAAGAUUAGUUAGUAUCAUUAUUAUAUUAUCAAUAAAUAAUCCUGGAAACUGUACAAACUAAAAAACUAAAAUUCAUUUUCAUAUGCAUGUGUGGGUGGAGUCAACUCCUUAUAAGUAGAAAGGAAAACAGCUUGUAGCAGUUUCUUAACAGUUUUUAAGCAGUUCAUGUAUUGUCAUGUGUACAUGUGGGUGGAGUCAUUACCAUAUAAGUGGAAAAGGAAACUGCUUAUAGCAGUUGCUUAGCAGUUUUUAAGCAGUUCAUAUCCAUGUCAAUCUAUUCUAUAUAUACUGCUAAGAAACUGUCGAGGUACUGCCAAGAUACUGCUAAUGAACUGCCUAGCAACUGCUUAUAAGUUGGACUAUUUGGAAUAUUUGCGGAAUUUUGACGAAAUUGGGAACUUUGGUUUUAUGUUUCAUUUUCUCAUAUUACAUUCUAUUUAAAAUUCUUUGGUUUCAGUGCUAUAAGUCGGUCCAAGUAAUAGUAAAUCAGGGCUUUCAAAAGUAGCCGGUAGCCGGCGGAUUUCCGCCGCCUAUAGUAACAUUAGGUGUCGGCUACUUUAGUGACAAAAAUGUAUGUCCAAUGAAAAAAAACUUUUAUAAAACUUUAAACAUCUUCCAAACUUUAGUAGACUCAGAAAUCGCGGCCAUAUCAAACGUGUUUACUUGCGCUAAAUUUAGUUCAGGUAAAUACCGGCACCUGAUUGGUCGUCUGUUGGUGUAGAAAAUAAUACGUCAAUUGCAAUAGUCGGAAAGCCUCGGAUUUACCCAAUUCGUGACAACACAGACAAGAAGUUCCGAAAGAUAACAACAAGUCCUGAACGUAAAAAUCAAUGAUGUUGACGGAAUGAAGAGAACAAAUCAUUGUUCAGUUUCGGCUUUAAAAAGGCCAGAAGCGAAAGUGACACAAGUAUAAUAUCAAUCAACAAUUUUAAAGCGAAAACAGAAUUUAAUCAGGAAAGAUUUCAGACUUGCUAUUCUUUUUAAUUUGCAAAUGCCCACGUGGUAUUAAAUAAAAACGAAAGUAGAAUUUUUCAGCACAAAUUCGCUAUGUUACCAACAAAUCUGUAGCUGUUAACUUGAAUUUGUGGAAAAAUAAAAUUAUAGGUCAUCAAAAUGUUACUUAUUAAUUUGUAAUAAAGAUUGUUUGGGUUUUAUUGUUUCUUACAAAACAAUUCAGUCUUAUAAACUUUCAGUACAAAUGUAGAAAUAAAAGUGAAAGUUUCUGUUCAAGCAAAGACACUUAAAAAUUAAUUGAUACAGCAUUGCAAAAAAUAAUUACAUGUAGUUAUCUUGAUGCACUUUAUUUUUCAUUUUGCAUCAAAAUUAGUACUUUGCAAUGUUGAAUUUUUUAAGUCUUUGCAUGAACAGAAAAUUUCACAUAUGAAACAAUAAAUUCAUGGCAAAAGUAAAAAUUUCAGGCAAAAAAAUGACAAUUUCAAAGCUGCAUUUAAGUGCCAGGAAACCGCCAGAAUGCAGGAUUUUGCGUCAUUUACCCCAGAGCUUCUGGGGGCCUUGAGCGGCCCCAAUGACCCCCGGCCAUAAGGGCGCCGAGCAUAGCUCCGCGUGCGAUACGGCUGUGCCGUUCACAUUGGAUCGCCUUCUACUUUUUCAUUUCAGCCUCCUACUUUUAAAUUUGUUGAAAGCCCUGGUAAAUAUUAAAAUUAUUGAUAUAUUUGCUCUAUCAGAUGAAUUAUGUAAUAUUUUCCUCAUGUUCCCAUGUUGUCAAAUUAUAAGCAUUUAUGUAAAACAUUUAUUUUGCAUCAUAUAAAUGGUCCAAGAAUAGAACUUACUGGGAACCAUUUCUUUUCUAUUUUUCUGUGAUGCAAUAUAAAUGGAAGAUUUCUGUUAACAAUUUUUCUUCCAUUUUUCUGUGAUGCAAUAUGAAUGGUGAACUCAUUUGCAUAAUUCGCAAAAACAAAUUGAAAUGAAAUUGAAAAUAAAUGGAAUAUAAAUGAUAAUAAAGUGAAUUAGAAUGAAAAAUGGUUUUCAGCUUUAUAUUCCUUUACAUUAGCUUGCAUAUCAUUAAAAUGGCAUAAAUGGAAAGUAAAUUGAAAUAAAUGGUCAGAAUGAAAAUGGUGAGUAAAUUGGAAAAAAAUUGAUUUCUUUUUGCUAA